rnacentral:rRNA from 1 species
ACGAACGCUGGCGGCAUGCCUAACACAUGCAAGUCGAACGGAGUUUAAUUGACAGAAGCCUUCGGGCAGAAGACGAUUAAACUUAGUGGCGGACGGGUGAGUAACGCGUGGAUAACCUGCCUUAUAGAGGGGGACAACAGUUGGAAACGACUGCUAAUACCGCAUAAGGUCUCGAGACCGCAUGAUCUUGAGAAGAAAGAUGGCCUCUGAAAAUGCUAUCGCUAUAAGAUGGAUCCGCGUCUGAUUAGCUAGUUGGUGAGGUAACGGCUCACCAAGGCAACGAUCAGUAGCCGGCCUGAGAGGGUGAACGGCCACAUUGGGACUGAGACACGGCCCAAACUCCUACGGGAGGCAGCAGUGGGGAAUCUUCCGCAAUGGGCGAAAGCCUGACGGAGCAAUGCCGCGUGAAUGAAGAAGGCCUUCGGGUCGUAAAAUUCUGUCCUUAUUGAAGAGAGGUUCAUGUGUAAACAAUGCAUGAAUAGGACGGUAGAUAAGGAGGAAGCCCCGGCUAACUACGUGCCAGCAGCCGCGGUAAUACGUAGGGGGCGAGCGUUGUCCGGAAUCACUGGGCGUAAAGGGCGCGUAGGCGGCCUAGUAAGUCAGAUGUGAAAAGUGAGGGCUCAACCCUUAGAGUGCAUCUGAGACUGCUAGGCUUGAGUACAGAAGAGGAAAGCGGAAUUCCUAGUGUAGCGGUGAAAUGCGUAGAUAUUAGGAGGAACACCAGUGGCGAAGGCGGCUUUCUGGGCUGAAACUGACGCUGAGGCGCGAAAGCGUGGGGAGCAAACAGGAUUAGAUACCCUGGUAGUCCACGCCGUAAACGAUGGGUACUAGGUGUCGGGGGUAUCGAUACCCUCGGUGCCGGAGUAAACACAAUAAGUACCCCGCCUGGGGAGUACGAUCGCAAGAUUGAAACUCAAAGGAAUUGACGGGGGCCCGCACAAGCGGUGGAGCAUGUGGUUUAAUUCGACGCAACGCGAAGAACCUUACCAAGACUUGACAUCCUGCUGACGGAUUGGGUAAUGCCGAUCGUUCUACUUCGGUAGACAGCAGAGACAGGUGGUGCAUGGUUGUCGUCAGCUCGUGUCGUGAGAUGUUGGGUUAAGUCCCGCAACGAGCGCAACCCUUAUGGUCAGUUACUACGCAAGAGGACUCUGGCCAGACUGCCGUUGACAAAACGGAGGAAGGUGGGGAUGACGUCAAAUCAUCAUGCCCCUUAUGAUUUGGGCUACACACGUGCUACAAUGGUCGGUACAAAGGGCAGCGAGACCGCGAGGUGGAGCGAAUCCCAAAAAGCCGAUCCCAGUUCGGAUUGCAGGCUGCAACCCGCCUGCAUGAAGUCGGAAUCGCUAGUAAUCGCAGGUCAGCAUACUGCGGUGAAUACGUUCCCGGGCCUUGUACACACCGCCCGUCACACCACGAAAGUUGGUAACACCCGAAGCCGGUGGUCUAACCGCAAGGAGGAAGCUGUCGAAGGUGGGACUAAUGAUUGGGGUG